rnacentral:rRNA from 1 species
GUGGGGUGGGGUGGGUGGAGCGGUAGAGGCGGCAGGAGGCGGUGUGUGGCGGUACCGUCGCGUGAGGCAGCGGCGGCGCGUGCGGUGGUAGCGCCGGGNNNNNNNNNNGCGGGGGAGGAGGGGCCGCCGCCGGGGCCGGCUCGCGGACCCGAAGGCGGAGUCGAGCGAGCGGCCGGCGCGGGAGGCGAGCGGCGAGGGCCGCGCGGCCCGGCGCCGCCGGCGGCGGCGGAGGAGGAGGGCGUCCUCGCCGUGGGUCGCCCACGCGCGGAGGCGCCGGCAGCUCUGGCAGCUCCGCCGGCGGUGCCCGCUCGACGAGCUGUUCAGCCAGUUGCGCUAGGCCAAGGACCGGUAGCUGCGGCAGCUCUUCCGGCACAGGCCGGUGGGGCCGGACGGGUACCCCACGCGCGGGUACCCGGUAUAGGAGAUGCUGCUCCAGUACGCGAUGUUGGGGUUCUUGGGGAUGACCAAGUUGGCGCUGGCGAAGCAGGAGAGGCGGCCGGUGCCGACGUACGAGGUCAUGCGGGAGGAGGUGGAGCGGCCGAUGCUGCGGCAGUUCCUUCUCCUGGACUUCGUCAAGUCCGUCACCCCUUCGAGGUGGGGCCCGGUGGGGCUCUUGAAGCUCUGAGGACCUCAACUUCAGUGGUGACCAGGAGAACCAGUCCCAUAGCGCUUACGGCAGCCCAACCGCGAACGACUCUUCGUGGACCGGCGAGCAAAGUUGUUCGGACUGUCACUUUAGCAACUGGUGAUGUGCAUGACAUAACACCCUCUACCCACGUUGUACCUCCCAUAGAACUGACUUCGAACGAGGAACCGACCCGUAACCCCAGAACCGUUCGAUUAACAAAAGAUACUACUGUUGGUGUAGAGGUAACUGCCUCUGUGUCUCUAACGAAAAUGUCUCCUACACUCACCGGCGAAACUCCGAGAACCCACCGUGUGUGAGACCCAAUUCUUACCGUUGCUACCAAUACUGCUCUAGGCAUUUCGGUAGGUCCUUCGUUUUAGUCAAUGGCUGUUCGGGUGUUACUAGUUCCACUGAUGGUGUUAGCCAAAACCUAGAGGGUUGUUCCGGUUGAGUAUGCGACACGUGCCUCGACGUAACCCGUGGUCGCUCCAGCUUCGCUGGUCCCGUUUGGAACCUACCGGUAUACUCGGUAAGAAACACGGACUCCUACAGUUCUCGGUGACCUCGGCGGUAUAAGGGGUUCCACGGCGAGAACUCCGACUGACCCUACGAUUCAAACGUGUCAUGCUCGUCUUCAUGGGUCUUCUACGGCGGUGGAACUUUUCAUAGUAAUGUCCUCUCAACGGGCGACCGACCCGGCUACGAGAAGGAGUUAUGUGUUGGCUCUCGGGACGUCUACGGUGGUCCUUAGAGAGGGUCGUUACGAACUUACGUGAACGAUUUCAACACGGACCAGAAUAACCUCCAUCACGACUAGAACGUAGGAGGUUGUACUGUAACGAAUUCUACAAACCGCUGAAGGUCUUCCUAUGGGGACUCCUCGCGUUACAGGCGAAACCUCAGUCCCUCGUGCCUUACCCGCGGUAAACGUUGCCGUAACGCGACGUGUGGGGUCCCGAGUAAGGUAUGACACGUUGAAAGAAACAAAAGUGGCUGAUGUACUCUCCACGGUACUCCUAGAGUCGGAACAGACUUCGACCUCAAUAGAUACAGUACUGGGUACUGAGAUAACCAGACCCUCUUCUACCAGGCUGGGUAGUUGGGUAACUCGUGAACCACUCGAAGGCACGCUACGGUUUGUACGACUACAAGGCAGGACGACUACCGUUCCUCUGACGGCCCCGUAUGUUCCACCGACAGGAGUUGUCCUUCUCCGGUAGAUAAGACCGAGAGAGGUCCGUUUUCGAAGGAGUAGACGGACCAUGGAGUUAACUCCCGCAACGCUUCCCACCUAUGUGAUAGAGACUGUUGAGCUGGCUGUUGUUCGGACUGAAGUAGUAUUACUCGUGACCAAGACUCCAUCUCUAACGACACUUCCGACGGCUUCUCAACUGCUUCCUCCCCUUCUGACAGGCGCAACACAGUAAACAGACGACCCUCGAAAAGCUGCUCGUCAGUCUACUUAUGUUCCUCUCGCACGAGGGACUCCGACAGUGGCGUUCCUAGUCGUAACUCCGACCGAGAUGGGAGCCUACCGUUUUCAUGCAACCUAGGUUCCCGUUCUGGUAGCCGUAGCUGUUCAAGCCGCGGUCGCGAGGACGGGGCUUCUAGAUGUUCCUCAUGCCGUAGUGGCGCCUCUCGCAGUAACGGCGUCGGUUCUCGGACAUUCUAGCGUGUGAGCAGCUCCAAGACAGUAGCAACUACCGUUUCUUGUUUGUGGUGUGAACUUCCAGAGCACGGGUCUUCGAACCUUAUUGCCUCCCUCUCCUCCUACGGACGCAGCCUCGCACUCACCAUAAAAAUCCGGACAUUAUUUGUUACGGAAAAGGUAAACGCAACAGAAUGUAAGCUAUGUAUAGCGGGGGGAAUCUACUAAGCGCCUCCCCCGCUCGGACUAGUUUAACCCCUGACCAAAAAACAUAAACAAAUGUAACUUGACUAUCAGCACGAACGCUACGAAGAAAGAGAGGGGUUCUAGUAACAGAGGUACCCACCAAGUACGAAACUACGUGGGAAAAUCAGGAACAUCAAACGAGUAGCAGGGGAAGAGGGUAUGUUUGCCAAACUACGUAUAUCAUAGUAGUUAAGUUAUUUUUAUCUCACAAACGGUAG